UUCUAAGAGAGUGUCUCCAGGACACAGAGUCAGAAUCUGAAACAAGAAAUGCUUCUUUUCCUUAUUCCGACAUUUGCAAUGGUUUGAAAAUGCUGUGUUGACACCAACAAUUAGCUCCUUGAAGAGGAACACAAAGGACAGUCAAGCAAAACCUUAGCCAUUAAUAAAGGGAUACAGGAAUUGCUGGUGAGUGGAGAUGAUUAUGCAACAGUGGGAGAAUAGAAUAUUGAGAAUUUGAGGUGGUGUCAUUUGGAUAGUUCACUGCUGAGUAGAAAUGGAACAAAAAAAUUCAAUAAAAAAGUUCAUCUUGACUUGCAAGUAGUUUUUAAAGACUUCAUUACACAGCUAUUAAAAACCAAUUUUUGUCCAUAUC